UACGAAGGGGGCUAGCGUUGCUCGGAAUCACUGGGCGUAAAGCGCACGUAGGCGGAUUCCUAAGUCGGGGGUGAAAUCCUGGAGCUUAACUCCAGAACUGCCUUCGAUACUGGGAAUCUUGAGUCCGGAAGAGGUGAGUGGAACUGCGAGUGUAGAGGUGAAAUUCGUAGAUAUUCGCAAGAACACCAGUGGCGAAGGCGGCUCACUGGUCCGGUACUGACGCUGAGGUGCGAAAGCGUGGGGAGCAAACAGGG
rnacentral:rRNA from 1 species